UUUACCAUGUUGGUCAGGCUGAUCUCAA
rnacentral:piRNA from 1 species